AUUGAACGCUGGCGGCAUGCUUUACACAUGCAAGUCGAACGGUAACAGGCCGCAAGGUGCUGACGAGUGGCGAACGGGUGAGUAAUGCAUCGGAACGUGCCCAGUCGUGGGGGAUAACUACUCGAAAGAGUAGCUAAUACCGCAUACGAUCUAUGGAUGAAAGCGGGGGACCGUAAGGCCUCGCGCGAUUGGAGCGGCCGAUGUCAGAUUAGGUAGUUGGUGGGGUAAAGGCUCACCAAGCCAACGAUCUGUAGCUGGUCUGAGAGGACGACCAGCCACACUGGGACUGAGACACGGCCCAGACUCCUACGGGAGGCAGCAGUGGGGAAUUUUGGACAAUGGGCGCAAGCCUGAUCCAGCAAUGCCGCGUGCAGGAAGAAGGCCUUCGGGUUGUAAACUGCUUUUGUACGGAACGAAACGGCUCUGGUUAAUACCCGGGGCUAAUGACGGUACCGUAAGAAUAUGCACCGGCUAACUACGUG
rnacentral:rRNA from 1 species